CAGCGACUCCAAGCUGGUGGACGCCCAGGCUGGCCUGGAAAGCGGCAUCACCACCGUGAUCGGUGCCCUGGCUGGCAUCAACAUGAUCUCCGGUGCCG
rfam:Chloroflexi bacterium RBG_16_54_18 RBG_16_scaffold_16997, whole genome shotgun sequence.